rnacentral:pre_miRNA from 1 species
AAUAGGAGAAUGACAAAUCAGAUUUUUCCUCUUGAUUUUCAAUUUUUUUUCUCCUAAAAAAUUCAAAUCCAACUAAAAAUGUUAAAAGUUCAGGAGGAAAAUUUUGAUUUGUCGUUUUCUUAUU